rnacentral:lncRNA from 1 species
GAAGAGAGAAGGCCUCCUCUGUUGCUUGAAAGCAGGCAGGGACUGGUUCAGGGGAAAAAAAUCACUGGAUCCACCCUGGGAAGGGGCCUGCAGGCUUGACCCCCUCCCUGCGACCCUGGGAAAAGCCUCUCUCCUGGAAUGUGGGAAGCAAAGACCUCAGUUGGACUUUGGGCAAGGUACUUACUCUCUCUGUGCCAGUUUCCCUGUCUGCAUAACAGCAGGAUGACCCCUCUGCUAUUGGCCUCCGGCCUCUGCUAUUGUUGCAGUGAUCCAGUGGAGCAUGGGGAGGCUCAGAGAGGUGGGCAGGCACUGGGGGAGUGGAGCUGGCACUUGACGGGUCUGGAUGACUCCAAGCACAGCAUUCUCUGGCCUGCAGCAAGACGUACACCUUGGUUCUGCCUGGCCAUCUACAUGCCUACCGCAUGCCAGCCCCCUGGGCGAGGUUCGGGGAAUGUCAAAGGAAUGAGACAGAGUCUCAAAUUCACACAAUCACAUUUUCAGUGGGGGAGACUGGUAAGUAACCAGGCAGUUACAACAGAGCAAGUAAAUGCUAUCAGAGGUGAAGUCCCAGAGCCCAGGGGCCUCCAAAGAGGGGCAUCUCAUGUAGCCAGGGAAUCAAGUAAAGGCCUCCCGGUGAGUCAUGGCAGAGAACUAUGAGAGCCCAUAGAAUCGCCAUCCCCUGAUUUCUCCUCUACAGUAGGGCCAAUUGCAAGGCUAGAUAUAAGGGAUACCUGCAAAGGGACCCUCCUCACCUUCCUACCUUCCUCCCUCUCCCUGGCACUUCUCACCACUGCCUCAGGUCCCUGAGGUACACCAGUUCCCACUGGGGGUUACGAAAUAGGACUAACAAGGAAGGGCCAGCUCUGGCCUUGCAGCUCUCACAUGGGCAGGGCGGGCCCAGCCACCUAUUCUCCAUGCCCUGGUGGUCCCGGGCCCUUGUCCUGGACAGCACUGGAGAACAGGUCACAUGGAGGCCUGUUCUCUACUGCUCAGACUGUAUUCCUCCUACAUCGUCCACAACCUCCUCUGGACCUAAGUCAGUAAGCCCUGCCCCUCGCUUAACCUCCUUGCCUUCUGUGUAAUUCUCAGUGCCAAGAAUAACCUCCCCUGGCUCUCGCCUCAAUCCCCUUUUUCAUCUGGAGCUUCCUCAGUCAAGAAGUAUUCCUGCCUAAGAGGAGAAGCCAAUGUCUCAUACCUACCCCCUUCUUCCGGGAAUAAUCCAUGUAGGGGUGGUGCUCAAUAUAUGGGGUUUGUCCUAAUGGGACUUAUCCUUCUGUGGCAUCCCAGAAGCUGAGUUUGUGAUCUGGUAUGGCCUAUGGGAGGCCCUCAAAGGCUCCCUGGAAAUGGCCCACUAGACUGGGCCAAGCAACUUACACUUGGUGUCACUUUCUCUACCUGCAAGCUCCCUUUCCUGACCUGGGGACAUAGGCAUCAUGGAGAAACUGGACACACAGGAGCUCAGAGGGAGAAUUUCAGAUGCUGGCUUUGUAUACAAAACAAUUUUAUUAAAAAUUCUGCAAUUUGGAAAACAAAGCCUUCACAAGGAUUCCAUCAGAAAGUACAAAUUUUAAAUAAAUGAGUCAGAAAAGAGGCA